rnacentral:snRNA from 1 species
GUUCUUGCUUCAGCAGCACAUACAAUUGUAAUAAUACAGAAAGUAAUUUGGCCCCAAUGCAAGGAUAACACAUAAAUUCAUGAAGCUUUCUAUAUUUUG